rnacentral:rRNA from 1 species
UACGAAGGGGGCUAGCGUUGUUCGGAAUUACUGGGCGUAAAGCGCGCGCAGGCGGUCUUCCAAGUCAGUGGUGAAAGCCCGGAGCUCAACUCCGGAACUGCCAUUGAAACUGUUAGACUUGAGGAUGAGAGAGGUGAGUGGAAUUCCCAGUGUAGAGGUGAAAUUCGUAGAUAUUCGGAGGAACACCAGUGGCGAAGGCGGCUCACUGGUCCGGUACUGACGCUGAGGUGCGAAAGCGUGGGGAGCAAACAGG